rnacentral:lncRNA from 1 species
UAGACUUCAGUAAAUGUUCAUUUCAAGUACAGAAUGGUUCAAACAUCUAGAGAUACUUACUGGCCGGAGAAGAUUUAAGCACAAAUGCAUAAAUUAUAAGCAAAUGUAUAUCAAUAUAAAUGUAAAAAAGAAGAAGAAGUAUAACCAAGAUAAAGAUAAUAAAAUUUACUGACUUUAUUUCCUUGUAGAACAUCAAUGACUUCUUGAGGGUUGAACAAUCUACUCCGUUUUCCAGGGUCUUGAGAUUCCAUGCGAACGAUUUCUCUUCCCAUUUCCUGCACUAGAUCAUGCAUCACCAAACUAGACCAAUCAUCCCUUUGGAGCAAGUUCCUUUGGACUAAGGUUGAAUUGAACUUUCAGAAUAAAAACCACACGCAUUUAAUGUUUUGGCAACUUCAUCCUCAUAACAACCAUGGAAGGCACAUGCGAUAUCAAAGGAAAACACUCCGAGUAUUGACAUCAAGUCCAUCAAAGCUUAUCUUGAGAAUCUUUUGAAUAUCACCAUGAGGAAUUGCUUUUAGUUUUUUGAACUCGUAUCUCCAUUCUUUAACGGAUCUCCCUAGCAGAUGUGACCCCAAUGUCACAAGAGCUAAUGGUAGCCCACCUGAAUAUUUUAUUAUGUCUUGUGCCAGUUCAACAUAUUCUUGUGGUGGAGAAAAACAGUUAAAAGCAUGACAAGAAAAAAGUUGUUGGGCUUCAUUGUCAUUUAAAAGUUUGGCCCGGUAUAUCUCACUUGUUGUAAGCCCAUAUAGCAAAUGUUCAUCUCGGGUUGUAAUAAUUAUUACACUACCAGAGCCAAACCAACUUCUUUCUCUUGUUAAGGAUUCUAAUUGGCUUCUAUGAUCUACGUCAUCAAGAACAAUUAGAACCUUUUGAGACCCAAGUCUUGCUUUGAUGAGAUUAGCACCUUCAGCAACAUUAUCAACUUCAAAUUCCUUAGUUUUGAGGAUUUGAUUAAGUAGUUUCUCUUGAAGCUUGACUAGACCAGAUUCUUCAGUUUUUGAUCUAAUGUCAGAAAGGAAGCAACUACCAUCAAACUGUUGAAAUAUUCGAUUAUAGAUAGCUUUUGCCAAAGUUGUUUUUCCAAUUCCACCAACGCCACAUAUACCAACCAUGCAAACUUCAUGCUCACAUCCACUUUGCAGUAACAACUCUAUAUGUUUGAUAGGAGAAUCUAAUCCAGUUGGGUAAUGAGCAACAUCUAGAGGUGUCUGGUUAACCUCUCGCAGAACUUGUUUUAUAAUAUUUUCAAUAAAUUUUGCUUCAUGCCUACAGUUUUUGCAACAAUAAAUACUUAGGUAUUUAAAAAUAUUUGAUGAACAAAAUAAAAAUCAAUAGCCAAAAGAUAAAAGAGUUUAUAGAAUGGAGAAUAUAUUCCUUGUCCCUAUCUAUAUGACACAGUUUGAUUUGACACAAAAUUUAAGAAAUAUAGAAAGACUUUACAAUGUUCCAAAAUUAACCAAGUUAUAAGCUUAGGCAAACGCUUAAAUUCAAAAUUUAAUAGUUGAAUUAAGAAGUCUUACCCAUCAGCAACAUUUCUCAAAUCCCAUCCAGAUAAAUUUGCUGCUUCAGUAAGUGCAGCUUUCCACUUUUCCAUUCUUUCAGCUCCAACAAAUCGUUCCUUAUGUUUUGCCAAAGCUUCGUCAAAGGAUCCAGUUUGCCUUCGCACUUGAGAAGGAUCAACAUCAUAGAAAAUAGGCAAAACUACCUGAUUUAACCUCUCUUUGCAAUCGAGAAUUUUGACAAGUUCAUCAAGACACCAACUAGAGGAAGCAUAAUUUUUGGAGAAAACAACAAUGGCAACCCUAGACUGUUCAAUUGCUUUCUCAAGUUCAAUUGAAAUGACGUCUCCCUUUCUCAAUUCCUCAUCAUCUAUGAAAGUAUUAACUCCAACUUGACACAAUCGGAAAUAAAGAUGACCUGUGAAGUUUUUCCGAGUAUCUUCACCUCUGAAACUGAGAAACACAUCAUAAGAUAAGUUGGAAGAAGAAGAUGAUUCUCCUACAACAAAUUGAGUAUUCAUAUUUGAUGACAAUAAAUUAAAGAGAUUUUUAGUCAAUUUUUUGCUUAAUUAAUUAAAUAGAGAUGUGAAGCAGCUAUUUAUAUACCCACAAGUACUUGUUUGUUCCUGGAAAUUUAAUUUUGGGUCAAGUCAUUUACAAGCCCCAAAGAAGGUUUACAGAAAUGAAAGGGAAGUUUCCAAGACAUAAUAUGUCUAUUCACUUUUAUUUGUCCAGCUAUUAAAAGUAGAUAUACAAUUUACUUUCAUUUCCUUCGUAGAUUUUUACUCAUUCACACUAUUAAAAAUAAUGAUCAUUUUUAUAAUGUAUUUUUUCAUCAUAUUAAUAUGCAAAAAAUUGUAAUUUAUAAUUUUUUUAUAGUUUUUGAAUAUUUAAAUUUUUUGUUUAAAAUAUCAAAUUAAUACAAUCUAAUUUAAUUUUGAAAAUUAAUUAAAUUGACUUUCGAAAAUGACAAUAUGAUAUAAAUGAGAGAAUACCAAAAGAGCUGGCAAAUUUCCACCAAAACUUCGCAAGUGGAAAUUAUUAUUAUCUUAAAGUUAUGAACUCACAUCUACAAUUAUUAUUUAGUUUAUUAUAUUUAAAUAAAAAAGAGGAAAAGUCGGAAGUUGUAAAAUUUUAAAUGACAAGUAGAAUGUUUCAACAUGAAUUUAUGAUACUUUAAUAAGCAAUAUUCGUUCUGUAAUAAAUUAAUCGCAAAGAAUUGAUUAGGAAUUUGGUUGAAAAUAGAAAUGGUCCAAUUCAAGAUGAAACUAUUAGAAUUGACCUUUGGUGAGGAAGUAAAUUAAAUUACUCCCUUCGUCUAUUUUUAUUUGUCUAGUAUUAACUCAUGCAAUAAAUAAAACAAAAACAUGAUCGUAUUUGUUCCUGUAUUCUAACAAAAAAGUUAUAUUAUUUGUCAUUUGUUAUACUUCAGAGUCAUAUUUAUCCUUGAGACAUUAAAUCUCCAUGACCCGCCUUAAUUUAACGCAGAAUAGGACGAACACUCUUCUCCAAAGUCCAAGCUAAGACUGUUUCCAUUACUAAAAAUCAAUAAAUUACACAGUUCGAUCACUUACAAUGUUCUCUGGUAUUGUAGGUUAAUCAGAGAGACACUAUAUUCACUAUACAAAGAAAAAGUUGAUCAAUUUUUAAAACUAAGCUUUAGUGCAACUCUACAUACUAGCACUAUACAAUGGAAAAAUUGGUUACAUAAAUUAAACAAAAUUUUCUAUAGAAGCUACUGCUAUCGAAGCUCGAUGCUCCAUUGUUCAUACCUAAUAAUGGCUUUGUAGCCCUAUAAUAGUACACAUUCUACUACAUCCAUCUUCCCAUCUUCAUUGACAUCAUUUUCCUCUUCUUGUGGGCUUUAUGCUUUUCUGCAAUCCUCAGCCUCCUCUUGGCGUUUCUCAUUGGAUUGACCUUCUCUUCUUGUUUCCUCUUAUCCCUCUUCGAUUUGAUAUUCUUCCUUAUAUGACUGUAGAUUUGGACAAAAUAUGUGUUCCUAUAACAUUGCUUAUGCUCCCUCGCACUCCUUCAGCCAGUUGUUUCACGUCAUCUGUGGAGAUGAUGCAAACGUAAUGUCACGCCCCGAGCGUACACCCUGGGCAGGACCGGCACCCGGAGACCAUUUCUGGCCCCAAGCGAACCCUUGGCCUGGCUUUCUUAACUCAGCGGAAACCUAACCCAACAGAAUAACUCAAUGCAAUGCAAUAUUACAAAACAACUUAACUUAUAAAAUAUGGCCAUAAAGGCAACUCGAAUCUCAAAAUAGAAUAUUUACAUAUAUAUAUAGAUGAGAGACUCAAAACUAACUGACUGACUGUCUGUCUAUGAAGCCUCUAAAAUACUGAGAUGGAUGUUGGGACAGACCCCGCAACACCCUAAUAAGACAAAACUAAGAGAACAAAAUAACUAAGCCCUCCGGAAGCAAGGAGGCUCACACUGACUCUGGAGUGCUCAANNNNNNNNNNNNNNNNNNNNNNNNNNNNNNNNNNNNNNNNNNNNNNNNNNNNNNNNNNNNNNNNNNNNNNNNNNNNNNNNNNNNNNNNNNNNNNNNNNNNNNNNNNNNNNNNNNNNNNNNNNNNNNNNNNNNNNNNNNNNNNNNNNNNNNNNNNNNNNNNNNNNNNNNNNNNNNNNNNNNNNACAAGGAUACAAUAAGCCUGAGAUGUAUAUAGAAAUACAAUUAAACUGAUGUAUAUAAAAAAAUACAAUAAUCUCUGUGUAUGAAAAUACAAUAACUGCUGUGGGAGUUUCUCUAACNNNNNNNNNNNNNNNNNNNNNNNNNNNNNNNNNNNNNNNNNNNNNNNNNNNNNNNNNNNNNNNNNNNNNNNNNNNNNNACUUUGGCUCAUAUGUUUUAAAAACAAACUUCUUUCUUUAGUUUGAGAUAAUUGCUUAAAACCUAGCCCAAAGGCUCUCUUGGAAUCAAUGUUCCCUUUACUUUGCUCAAAUGUGAAAACAUUUAUAAACUUCUUUGGGAAUACUUAGUUCCCUAAUAGCUUUUGAGAAAUGAACUCAACUUUAUGCUCUUGACUUACUUGAAACUUGAGACUCUUUACUUAGCUUGAAACUUUAAACUCUUUACUUGACUUGACACUUGAGUCUAAAAAUGAAGUUAAAACGUUCAAUAAAGACUCUUGAACAACUUUGCAACUUGCUUACCUUGCUUAACUUCUAAGCUUAACUCUUAAUUUCUAACUUCACUUGACUUCUAACUAACUCUCCUUGAAUUGGAAUUUUGGAUUCAAGGUGUUUGAUCACAUGUUAUGGAUGAGUUCUUGACUUUUAGAAGUACCUUGGAGUGUUGGAAACAACUAGGAAACAUAGGUAUAAUACCUAGGAACAUGUAUGAAAAAAGUGGUGAAUGAAAGGGAAGGAUUGGUGUCCUUGGCACUAGGAGAGGUGCGACAGCCCAGCCCUUUGUUCCCCAAAAAUCCGACUUUUUCCCCUUGUUUCUUUCCAAUUCUAAACCCUCUCAACCUCAAGGUUUCAGCAACAACACUUAGAAUCAUAAAGACCCUUAUUAUACAAUAGAUUCAACUCAAAAAUCACAGCCGGAAAUUUGUACUAAACCAGCAAGAACUUCAACACAACACCACUACAACUUCAACAACCAAUAAAUCUUCUCUUGGAAUUAAAAACGAGUUGGUGUGUGGGGGUAUGAACCAACCAACNNNNNNNNNNNNNNNNNNNNNNNNNNNNNNNNNNNNNNNNNNNNNNNNNNNNNNNNNNNNNNNNNNNNNNNNNNNNNNNNNNNNNNNNNNNNNNNNNNNNNNNNNNNNNNNNNNNNNNNNNNNNNNNNNNNNNNNNNNNNNNNNNNNNNNNNNNNNNNNNNNNNNNNNNNNNNNNNNNNNNNNNNNNNNNNNNNNNNNNNNNNNNNNNNNNNNNNNNNNNNNNNNNNNNNNNNNNNNNNNNNNNNNNNNNNNNNNNNNNNNNNNNNNNNNNNNNNNNNNNNNNNNNNNNNNNNNNNNNNNNNNNNNNNNNNNNNNNNNNNNNNNNNNNNNNNNNNNNNNNNNNNNNNNNNNNNNNNNNNNNNNNNNNNNNNNNNNNNNNNNNNNNNNNNNNNNNNNNNNNNNNNNNNNNNNNNNNNNNNNNNNNNNNNNNNNNNNNNNNNNNNNNNNNNNNNNNNNNNNNNNNNNNNNNNNNNNNUGAUUUGUGAAAAGACCAAAAUGCCCUUAAAUUUUCCGGACGGAUUCCCUGCCAACUGCCCAACUUUCAAAGGGCAUAACUCGCUCAUACGAACUCGGAAUCGAGUAAUCUCAAUGGCGUUGGAAAGAUCAUUCCACAAGCUUCGCAACCAUAACUGGAACUACUCCUAACUCAUCCUGAGCUAGGAGUUACGACUGACUCAAAGUUGGCCAAAAUCACUGAUUUCCACACUUAGCCAAAUUUUCCAGAUUUUGAAUUUUUCCAAAUUUCCAGAUUCUGGACUGCCAAAUUUCCAGAUUUUAAAUUUUUCCAAAAAUGACUAUUUCCAAAUUCAAGCUUCUUCAUAUUCAUUUUAAAUUGUCGGAUGUUACACGUAAUCAUCAAAUAUAUUAAGGACUACAAAGUUAAUCACUCGGAAGCCAAAGAGGAAGUGAAGAACAUUUGUAAAUGCAGCUAGCACUUUGCAUAUAAGAUAGUAUGGGCAGACACUUGAAACAACAAGUUUGCAAGAGAUUGAAUGAGAGACCAUACCUGAUAUAACUUUUCCAGCAAAUCCUUCACAAACUUUGUACAGGGGCAACAGCAUAUGAUAUGCAAAGCUUUGGCAAUCAACCUCACCUUCAGGGGACAACAAUCUACUCUGAUCUAUAAGCUUUGGUGAAACUGAUUUGAAACAAUUGAAGAUAAUUCUCAUCUGCAAAAAAUUGUGCACAUUCCACAGCAUGAGAACAGGCACUCCUAGCACCAUAUAUGGGAGAGUAAGGCACAAAAUAUUUUUUUUGGAAAACAACGAGAAGGUAAAUUACAUAGCAAUGACUAGGCUAAGAAAUUUUUUGCGAGUCGAGCAAACAGAGAUAUCCUUAAUUAAUCACCCACCUGCAUAUCCUCCACAUGAAGGGAAAUCUUUCCCAUUGUCUUAAGCAAAUAAGAAAUGACCAAGUAGCGCUGGCCUUCAUCUUCUUGAUCGCUAAGGUCAGACACAAGAGACAGAUAGAUGUUUUUCCCUUUCCUUGAAUCAAGCUGUUGAAAAGCCUUAAGCAGAAGACCCUGCUCGUCAUGUUCAAUGGUGGACCAGAACUCAUCUUUACAUUCAUUUUUUCCUAAGAAUGAAUGCAGAGAGCAAAUUGAAAAGACAAGAUUUUGAGUAAUGAGAUCACUGGCAGCAUCAUCAGUCUGCAGCACCUUCAGCUGACAACAAAGAGAAGUAGCUACGAAGAAAAGUCUACUUGGCCUCAUCAAAAAGUAAGUUUCUUGUGGCAGUUCAAGGUUUUCUUUCCAAGCCUCAGUCACAGUGGCAAAGUAGCAAGCCACAAGACGGUUUGAUAUGUUGCGCAACCACAGAUGCGGAUGCAAAAGCAACUCACAGAUUGCUUCCCACAGAUCCUAUGAGAUGUCAAUAAAAAUAAUAGUCAGAAAACAAAUAUGAAUUUAUCCAAAGAACAGGACAAGUUAUUGGCAAUCUGGAAAUGGGAGUGUGGUAGCUGUGGAGCGUACUUUCCCCAGUACAACAAUAACAUACCUAGUGAAAUCCCACUAAGUGGGGUCAGGGGAGGGUAGAAUGUACGCAGUCCUUACCACUACCUCGUGGAGGUAUAGAGGCUGUCUCCGAAAAACCCUCGGCUCAAGUGCAUCAAACCAAAGUAAAAGUAUCCUCUUCAAACUUUAAGCCCAGUAUACUAUUCAAACUCUAAGCACUUGAUUUUCAAAUACUUCUUAACUUUACACCUAGUCUGUAGUUGCAACUAUCUUUUGGCAUGCUGCCUAAGUUUGAGGACUAAAGCAAUUUCACCUAAGUGGUUGUAGCCACACCAAAAAGUAAUUCAUUUCUUAAAUCUAUCACAAAGCAAAAUGAGGUCCAGCGGUUUUCACAUAAGUCCCCUCGUACAUAUGCUAAGUAGGACAUAUUAUGGAUGACUUGGUUUUAGCCCUAUAUUUUAAGACCAUAGCUAAAAUAAUGAAAUACANNNNNNNNNNNNNNNNNNNNNNNNNNNNNNNNNNNNNNNNNNNNNNNNNNNNNNNNNNNNNNNNNNNNNNNNNNNNNNNNNNNNNNNNNNNNNNNNNNNNUAUCAUAAUCAAGAUCUCCCAACUCUACAGUAGACGUGGCAUUCAAUUCACGAAGAAGAUUUGCCUGUAUGAAAUUAAGAAGUGUUACACGUCAACAAACACCUAAAGCAACAAGUUCAAAAGAAAACUAGAUGGUCUAGUAAUACCGUAGGAUGUACAGAAGAAUCAUUCCCUGCGACAGCAUCAAGAACAUCACAAAUAGAAGUACGGACAUCCAAGCCAGCAGAAAUUACGAGUGGAGAAACAGAUUUGACGGUCUUUUUACUGCUUUCACUACCCAAUGGUUCUACAAUAUCCUUAAUAAUCUGUAAAGUGCCUACACAAAUCUCUGCAACCAGAAAGAAAGGUAAUCUUAGAAAAAGAGCAAGGACAUGAGACCAAACAGGUCCACCAAAACUGUAAGACAAAACUCAGAGACUCUGACCAGGGUCUUUGGAUCUCUUUGACAGAAGCGGAAGCAAGAUGUCAAGAAACUUCCUUGCAGCCAAUGGUCCCUUUAUGUGCUUCGAUAAAAGCUUGAAGACAUUGAGCUCUUUUUCCCCAGGAUAUUUGACAAUCUUCCUGGAAAAGUGAAUACAUCAGUUAAGAGGAGAACUGAUGCUAGUGCAUCUCAUAUAACACUUAAUUACAUAAAGAGCAUGCUAAGUCCACUUAGCCAUAUAGGGUGGAUGACACAUACACAAGAAAAUAAGUAAGAAACCUACUUAUUCUCCGGAGAAGCAUUUUCCAAAAAGACAUUUUAGAGGCAUUGUUAUCAUUUGGUAGAUCCAGGUCCAUGACCUAUUUCGAUGGAACACAUUUUCCAUGGUACAUAACACAUUCUCAGAAUUUCGCUCAUUGAUAUCCAUUGAUACGGACCUCACUUGUGGGAUUUCACGGGAUGUGUUGUUGCUUGAGUUGAUAUGCCCUGCUGAAAGUCUUUGUGGGUAGGAGGGAGUAUAAGAAUGAUCCACAACUCCCGGCAAAGUUGUAACAUUACCAUGUUGAUCUAAAUGUAAUAGAUGUACUCCUAUCUUCUUUACUAUGGCUCCGCCACUGCUAUCCUCUACUCUUAUCUGUUCCCCGCCUUUGAUGUUCAGGCCUUUAAAAGGUCUAUCAUUUGCGUAAGGUAAGUAAUAUACACAUGAUACUUCUCCGUGACCAUCAGGUAUAUCAAAAGGCAAAAUCCAUGAAAAACUCUUUUUAUGGGAAACAGUAACAACAAGGUGUUCAAGCUCAUGUACAUCGCAAAGGCGGCAAACAAACCAGAGAACCAUUCCUAAGAACUUGUUAUUAUGUACUGUGGGCAUAGUCAAACAGAUAGAUGGAGCUGUUACUUUAUUGCUGCACCAAUCUGGAAUCUCAUUGCUUUCGAGAUUAAUUUGUAACAACGACUUCAUCAGACAAAUUAAGACACAAUUAGAUCAUUAAUUAUUAAUGUGAUACGAGAGAGAGAUCAGAGAGGGAGAAGGACUAACCUCAUACCAUUGAUAUUUUCUACACGAAAUUGAUAGAGCAGGGGCACUAAAGAAGCCUUCACUGAAUGGAUUCUGCAGACAAGUACAAUUAUUCAUGUCCAUCUUCUUUAUUGAAGGGAGGUUGUCCAACCCUGUAAUCUUGACCAGUUUUUGGCAAUUCCUAAGUUCAACAACUCUAAGGUACUCUAAAUUUGAUAUUGAUGGGAGUGUUUGAAGGUUCUCACAAUCAUUCAAAUACAAGGACUUCAACCAUGGUAACUUGGAAAAAUCAAAGGGUAGAUAGAGGAAACUGUUGCCGCUCAAAUCUAAAUGAUAUAAGUUGGAUAAACUCCCAAUAUCCCUAGGAACAUCAGCCUCCGAGAAACCACAAUAUGGAAGGCAUAGAAUCGAAAUAAAUUUUGACAAGGAUACUAUGGGGCGUACUCUUGUUUGAGAAAACCUCCUUUUGGUCUCUAAGUAUUGACCUCCCAUUUCCAAUUCUAUAAGAUUUCCUAGCAUUUCAACAGAUCCAGGCAAUUCUUUUAUACCUGUUUCACCUGCAUUAAGAAAUCUUAGGCUUUGCAUAUCUCCAAUGUCAACUGGCAGUGUUUGUAAAGAUGAGCAGUCAUUAAUGCUCAAGUAUUCAAGGGAUUUUAGCUGGCAUAUGCUGCUCGGAAGAUCCGUAAUCUUUUCGCAACCAUUCAAUUGAAGAUCAGUUAGUCUGUCCAAAUUUCCUAUUGAUGGAUGGAUCUCCUUAAGACUUGAGCAAUUGUCAAGCCACAAAGUCUCGAGACUUCUUGAACCACAGAAGUUUGGAGUUCUUCUGAGGUGCUUGCAAUCAGAGAGAUCCAGCAUUUUCAAAUUUCUACAAUACUAAAAGUAAACAAAAUAUUGUUUUAAUUAAGAUUUUCUUUAUCUUAAACAUAACACAUAAAAUUGCAGAAUUGAGUAACGAACCUGCAAAUUCAAACCAAAUUCUUGGAUAUUGCUCCCUUUCAUAUUCAGAACUACAAGCUUCUCAGAUGGAAAAUUUGACGGUAUACAUUUUAAAGGACAUUCUUUCCAAGACAACCAUCUGAGCUCCUUGGACAAUAGCUCAAAAUCUCCACUAAUAUGUAAGUCGUCGAUUUUAAGCACCCUAAGAUUUAUCAUUUUCUGAAAUGCUUUGGUGUUCAGCUUCACACCCUUUAAUGCCUGUCGUUCUACCACCAAUAUUUCUACAUUUUCAGAACCCUACAGUUUGGUAAAAAGAAAAGUACUAUAAGACCAUGUUAUGUAUGAUAAAUUAAGAAAGAGAAAUGCUUUAUACAAAUUGAAGGUCAAACAAAGAAAAUAAAUUAUGUACCAAUAAAAAUAAACUUACACAUUAUAUCCAACUAAAGGAUAUUUAUUUGAUAAUUUUGUCUUUGAUAGCUUGUUUAGACUUCAGUAAAUGUUCAUUUCAAGUACAGAAUGGUUCAAACAUCUAAAGAUACUUACUAACCGGAGAAGAUUUAAGCACAAAUGCAUAAAUUAUAAGCAAGUGUAUAUCAAUAUGAAAAAAGAAGAAGAAGAAGUAUAACCGAGAUAAAGAUAAUGAAAUUUACUGACUUUAUUUCCUUGUAGGACAUCAAGGACUUCUUGAGGGUUGACCAAUCUACUCCGUUUUCCAAAGUCUCGAGGUGAUUCCAUGCGAACGAUUUCUCUUCCCAUAUCCCGCACUAGAUCAUGCAUCACCAAACGACGCCGAUCCCUUUGGAGCAGGUGUCUUUUGACUAGAGUUGCAAUUGCAGUUUCACAAUAAAAACCACAGGGGUUUAAUGUUUUGGUAACUUCAUCCUCAUCACAUCCAUGGAAAGCGCACGCAAUAUCAAGGAAAACACUCUGAGUAUUGUCAUCAAGUCCAUCAAAGCUUAUUUGGAGAAUCUUUUGAAUAUCAAAAUGAGGAAUUGUUCUUAGUUUUUUGAACUCGUAUCUCCAUUCUUCAACGGAUCUCCCUUGCAGAUGUGACCCCAAUGUCACAAGAGCUAAUGGUAGCCCACCUGAAUAUUUUAUUAUGUCUUGUGCCAGCUCAACAUAUUCUUGUGGUGGAGAAAAACAGUUAAAAGCAUGACAAGAAAAGAGUUGCGGGGCUUCAUUGUCAUUUAAAAGUUUGGCCCGGUAUAUCUCACUUGUUGUAAGCCCAUAUAGCAAAUGUUCAUCUCGAGUUGUAAUAAUUAUUACACUACCAGAGCCAAACCAACUUCUUUCUCUUGUUAAGGAUUCUAAUUGGCUUCUAUGAUCCACGUCAUCAAGAAUAAUUAGAACCUUCUUUGACCCAAGUCUUGCUUUGAUUAGACUAACACCUUCAGCAACACUAUCAACUUCAAAUUCCUUAGUUUUGAGGAUUUGAUGAAGUAGUUUCUCUUGUAGCUUGACUAGAACAUAUUCUUCAACUUUUGAUCUUAUGUCUGAAAGGAAGCAACUACCGUCAAACUGUUGAAAUAUUCGAUUGUAGAUAGCUUUUGCCAAAGUUGUUUUCCCAAUUCCACCAACGCCACAUAUACCAACCAUGCGAACUUCAUGCUCACAUCCACUUUGCAGUAACACCUCUAUAUGUUUGAUAGGAGAAUCUAAUCCAAUUGGGUAAUGAGCAACAUCUAGAGGUGUUGGGUUAACCUCUUGCAGAACUUGUUUUAUAAUACUUUCAAUAAACUUUGAUUCAUGCCUACAGUUUUUGCAACAAUAAAUACUCAAGUAUUUUAAAUUAUUUGAUGAACAAAAUGAAAAUCAAUAGCCAAAAGAUAACAGAGUUUAUAGAAUGGAGAUUAUCCCUUGUCCCAAUCUACGGUUUGAUUUGACACGAAAUUUAAGAAAUAUAAAAAGACUUUACAAUGUUCCAAAAUUAACCAAGUUUUAAGCUUAGGCAAAUGCUUAAAUUCAAAAUUUAAUAGUUGAAUUAAGAAGUCUUACCCAUCAGCAACAUUUCUUAAAUCCCAUCCAGAUAAAUUUGCUGCUUCAGUAAGUGCAGCUUUCCACUUUUCCAUUCUUUCAGCUCCAACCAAUCGUUCCUUGUGUUUUGCCAAAGCUUCGUCAAAGGACGAAGUUUGCCUUCGCACUUGAGAAGGAUCAACAUCAUAGAAAAUAGGCAAAACUACCUGCUUUAACCUCUGUUUGCAAUCGAGAAUUUUGACAAGUUCAUCAAGACACCAACUAGACGAAGCAUAAUUUUUGGAGAAAACAACAAUGGCAACCCUAGAUUGUUCAAUUGCUUUCUUAAGUUCAAUUGAAAUUUCGUCUCCUUUUCUCAAUUCCUCAUCAUCUAUGAAAGUAUUAACUCCGACUUGAUACAAUCUGAAAUAAAGAUGACCUGUGAAGUUUUUGCGAGUAUCUUCACCUCUGAAACUGAGAAACACAUCAUAACAUAAGUUGGAAGAAGAAGAUGAUUCUCCUUGAGUAUUCAUAUUUGAUGACAAUAAAUUAAAGAGAUUUUUAGUCAAUUUUUUUGUUUAAUUAAUUAAAUAGAGAUGUGAAGCAGCUCUUUAUAUGCCCACAAGUAAUUGUUUGUUCCUGGAAAUUUAAUUUUGGGUCAACUCAUUUACAGGCCCCAAAGAAGGUUAACAGAAAUGUAAGGGAAGUUUCCAAGAUAUUUCAUAGACAUGUUGCGUUCAAUUUUAUAUGUUAUAAUAUUAAAAAUAGAUAUACAAUUUACUUCCACUUCUUCCGUAGAUUUUUACUUGUUCACAUUAUAAACUAUAGUGAUCAUUUUUAUUUGUACAAUUUAAAAAUAAUCAAAAAUAAGAACUUUUAAUUUAUUUAUUUUAAAAUGUGUCAUACUUCCAAUAAUUCACUUAUGAACCAGUGAGAGUAGAUAAUGAGUGACUUGCUUUCACAUUUAUUGUCAGCACAACUCUAUCAGUCUUCUUUUUUUUUCAUCACUUUCACACUAUCGACAAGUGGAUUGACAUUACCAUGUUGGUCUAAAUAUAGCAGAUGGAUCCCUAUCUUUUUUAUUGCAUCUUUGCGAAAGAACAAAUAGUCAGACUCGUGAACUGUUACCUUUGAUCAUCUGGUCAACAAAAGGACUAGUUAAGCAAGAUAUGUAAUAUACACAUGAUACUUCUCUGUAUUGUCCGAUCGAGUAUAUCAAUAUCACAAAUUCUUGACAUAGAUACUCUCUCUCUAUCGGAUACAGCAAUACUGAAGCGUCCAAAAGUGGAUGAAAGUCUCUUAAAGUCGCAAAAAAAAACAGAGAAUCAUUCCUAAGAACUUGUACCCCUUAUCAUGUACUGUGGGCAUAGUGAAACAGAUAGAUGGAGAUGUUACUUUAUUGCUGCACCAAUCUGGAAUAUCAUUGCAUUCGACACAAAUUCGUAAAACUUGCUUCUUCAGAGUGUGAAAUGACAGAGCCUGGGCACCUUGAUUGAACGAUCUCCUUCAUCCUUGAGCAACCUUGAAGCUUCAAAGUCUCGAGACUUGUUGCACCGUUGAAGUUUGGAGUUUUUUUGAGGGCCGAGCACCAAGAGAUAUUCAGCUCCUUCAACCUUGGGCAACACUAAAUGUCAACCAAGUACAUUAAUAUUCAAGUUAUACAAGACUAUUUUGUAUAAUUUCACUAGUCAAUGAAAAAUGUAGAAUUGGGCAACAAAUUAAACCUGCAAAUUCAAGCCAAAUUUUUCGAUAGCACUCCCUUCCAUAUUAAGAACUACAAGAUUCGCAGCUGGAAAAUUUGGUGGAAUAUAUUUUAAAUGACAUCUUUGCCAAGAUAACCAUUUGAGCUCCUUGGGAAAAUGCCACAAAUCUCCAUGAAUACGUAAUCCAUUGAUUAUAAGCACCCUGAGUUUCUUCAUUUUCUUAAAUGCAUCGGUGCUAAACUCCACUCCCUCUAAUUCCCCUGGUUCAUCUAACCUCAUUACUUGUACAUUUCCGAAACUCUGUAGUUCAGAGAAAAUGUUUUAAUUAGGACUAAGAAUUGUAACACGACAUACAAUUAAAUUAAAAAGGAACAAGGAUUUACUCACGUUUUUUCCUCGUAAAACAGCACAGACUUGUUGAGGUAUGAAUAAUCUACUCCGUUCUACAAGGCAUUGAGAUUCUGAGCGAACAAUUUCUCUUCCCAUAUCUCGCACUAGAUCAUGCAUACUUACACAACCCCCAAGUACCCCUUGGAGCAACUGUUUUUGGACUAAAGUUGCAAUUUCACAUUUAGUGUGAAAACCACAUGCAUUUAGUAUUUCAGUUUUCUUGAGAGUCUUUUGGAUAUCAUCAUGAGGAAUUUCUUUUAGUCUCUUGAAUUUGCGUCUCCAGUUUUCUAUGGAUUCCCCUCGAAAAUGUGAACCCAAUGUCACAAGUGCUAAUGGUAGCCCACCUGAAUAUUUGAUUAUGUCUUUCGUCACCCCAACAUAGUCUUUAGGUGGAGAAAGACUGUCAAAAGCAUGACGAUAAAAAAGUUGCUGAGAUUCAUUGUCAUUUAAUUGGUUGAUCAUACAUCUUUUUGCAUUAAGCCAACUUAGCUAAAGCUCGUCUCGGAUUGUAAUAACUAUUAUACUACCCAAACCAAACCAUUUCUUUUCUUUUGUUAACGAUUCUAAUUGUUUUUUUGUGUCCACUUCAUCAAGAACAAUUAGAACCUUCUUUGACCCCAGUUUUCUUUUGAUUAGAUUGAUUCCUUCAGCAACACUGCGAACUUUGUACUCGUUGGUUUUGAACAGUAUAUUGAGAAGUUUCUCUUGUACACUUUCUAGACCAAUCUUUUUUUCUAGCAAUCUAACAUCAGAAAGGAAGCAACUACCAUCGAAGAUAAAUAAUCGAUUGUAGAUAUUUUUGGCCAGAGUUGUUUUCCCGAUUCCACCAACUCCAUAUAUACCAACCAAGUGAACUUCAUCUACGUGUCCAUUUUGCAAUAACGACUUUAUAGGUUUAGUACGAGAAUCAACUCCAAUUGGGUAAGAAGCAACAUGUAGAGGUGUAUGGUUGACCUCUUUCUUCAUAUCUUGUAUAAUCAUUUCAAUAAAUUCAGCUUCAUGCCUACCAAUAUUUUUACCAAAAAACACUCACAUGAUGGGAGGUGUUACGCUUUAAAAUAGUUGCCUAUCUAUGGAUGGCAAUGGGGCGGUGCGGGACGGGGCGCGUUGAGCUUAAUCUAUAAAAAAUUUAAUUCGCUCUGCAUAACAAUUUUUUUCAUUUUCAACCUGCCCCGCAUGAAACUCCCCACAUAGUUUUUUUAAUAUUUUUCUUUUCUAGUUAAGUUUGACACUAAAAAUAAAAUUCAUAAAAAUAAAUUCAUUUUUUCAUUAAGUUGUAUUAAUUUAAUAGAAAAUGACCUAAAUUUUAUUUUUUAGAAGUCAAUUGGUAAACAUGUAAGAAAUUGUAUUAAUUUUUAUUGAAUCAUUUUCAUUUACCAUCUUGAAUAUUUUAGUAGCUUUAGAGAAAUUAUCUUAAUAAAUAAUGUUCUAUCACUCUUAUAGCAUGUAAAAAGUUAAAAUUAAAUUGAAUCCACAUAAUGCCACAUAUUCCGGCAACCCCGUCCCACAUAGCCUUAAAUCCACUCCAUCCCGCAUCCGCCCCGUUUCAUUGUUAUCUAUGGCUAUCAAACGACCCAAAAUUGUUAACAGAAAUAAAAAGGAAGUUUCCUAAGAGGUACUUUCUCUUUUGGGUAAUAACCAUAGUUAAUAGUAUAAUUAAAAACAUUACAUUUCAUCCUUGUAGGAAAUUACUUAUGGGGUUCUUGAUAGGCAAUCUUACUGUGGAGGAAAGUUGAUAGAAAUUGAAUGGAAACAUUCAAAUUCUUUUUCUUUUUAAUUGAAUGGUUUUCACAUUCUAAAUUUUCUCUACCCACCAAAGGUCAAUUCUAAUAGUGGUUGCAUCUUGAAUUGGACCCUUUUUAUUUUUAAACAAAUUUCUUAGUACACAAAACAAAUAUAUUGCUUACUUUAAAAGCAAGGUAUCAUAAAUUCACGUCGAAACAUUGUACUUGCCCUUUAAAAUUUUACAACUUAUGAUUUUCAUCUUUUUUUAAAAAAAAUAAUGCAAGAAAUAUGUCAUGAUGUUCCACUAUGCCUUUAUAAAUCUCCAUUUAUCUUUGUUUUGUUUGUUUAAUCGAAAUUUAAUCUUCUUACUGUUACGAUUACCAGAUUUUACACACUACUUGCCUAUUCUUUCUUCUUCUAACCUUUUCUUUUCCUUUUUGAAUAUUUUCUUUUAAUAUUAGUAUUUCUUUUGAAUGGUCUAACCAGUAGUUGAACUUAGAAGCUUUCUUUGGUUAUGAAACCAAAUUAAUAUUAUUUACCUUAUUUAGAGGUAUUGCCACUAUAAGUAAUACAACGAUUAACUAUUUUAUGCAAAACUUUCGUAAAUGUGCUUUUACAUAAAUUUCCAUUCAGUGUGACACACACGAAGUAAAACCACAUGUUUCUUCUUUUUGCAUUCCAAAAAAAAGGAAGAAUAUUCUUCUCCAUUACUAAAAAUCAAUAAAUUACACAGUUCAAUCACUUACAAUGUUCCCUGGCAUUGCAUGUUAAUCAAAGAGACACUAUAUUCACUAUACAAUGAAAAAGUUGAUUCAAUUUUUUAAACUAAGCUUAGUGCAACUCAACAUACUACCACUAUACAAUGGAAAAUUUGGUUACAUAAAUUAAACAAAAUUUUCUAUAGAAGCUACUGCCUAUAUCGAACAACAAAAUUUUCUAUAGAAGCUACUGCCAUCGAAGAUCGAUGCUCAAUUGUUCAUACCUAAUAAUGGCUUUGUAGCCCUAUAAUAGUACACAUUCUACUACAUCCAUCUUCCCAUCUUCAUUGACAUCAUUUUCCUCUUCUUGUGUGCUUUAUGCUUUUCUGCAAUCCUCAGCUUCCUCUUGGCAUUUCUCAUUGGAUUAACCACAGCAAUGACCUUCUCUUCUUGUUUCCUCUUAUCCCUCUUCGAUUUGAUAUUCUUCCUUAUAUGACUGUAAAUUUGGACAAAAAUAUGUGUUCCUAUAACAUUGCUUAUGCUCCCUCGCACUCCUUCAGCCAGUUGUUUCACGUCGUCUGUGGAGAUGAUGCAAACGUAAUCAUCAAAUAUAUUAAGGACUACAAAGUUUAAUCACUCGGAAGCCAAAGAGGAAGUGAAGAACAUUUGUAAAUGCAGCUAGCACUUUGCAUAUAUGAUAGUAUGGACAGACACUUGAAACAAUAAGUUUGCAAGAGAUUGAAUGAGAGACCAUACCUGAUAUAACUUUUCCGGCAAAUCCUUCACAAACUUUGUACAGGGGCAACAGCAUAUGAUAUGCAAAGCUUUGGCAAUCAACCUCACCUUCAGGGGACAACAAUCUACUCUGAUCUAUAAGCUUUGGUGAAACUGAUUUGAAACAAUUGAAGAUAAUUCUCAUCUGCAAAAAAUUGUGCACAUUCCACAGCAUGAGAACAGGCACUCCUAGCACUAUAUAUGGGAGACUAAGGCCCAAAAUAUUUUUUUUGGAAAAACAACGAGAAGGUAAAUUACAUAGCAAUGACUAGGCUAAGAAAUUUUUUGCGAGUCGAGCAAACAGAGAUAUCCUUAAUUAAUCACCCACCUGCAUAUCCUCCACAUGAAGGGAAAUCUUUCCCAUUGUCUUAAGCAAAUAAGAAAUGACCAAGUAGCGCUGGCCUUCAUCUUCUUGAUCGCUAAGGUCAGACACAAGAGACAGAUAGAUGUUUUUCCCUUUCCUUGAAUCAAGCUGUUGAAAAGCCUUAAGCAGAAGACCCUGCUCGUCAUGUUCAAUGGUGGACCAGAACUCAUCUUUACAUUCAUUUUUUCCUAAGAAUGAAUGCAGAGAGCAAAUUGAAAAGACAAGAUUUUGAGUAAUGAGAUCACUGGCAGCAUCAUCAGUCUGCAGCACCUUCAGCUGACAACAAAGAGAAGUAGCUACGAAGAAAAGUCUACUUGGCCUCAUCAAAAAGUAAGUUUCUUGUGGCAGUUCAAGGUUUUCUUUCCAAGCCUCAGUCACAGUGGCAAAGUAGCAAGCCACAAGACGGUUUGAUAUGUUGCGCAACCACAGAUGCGGAUGCAAAAGCAACUCACAGAUUGCUUCCCACAGAUCCUAUGAGAUGUCAAUAAAAAUAAUAGUCAGAAAACAAAUAUGAAUUUAUCCAAAGAACAGGACAAGUUAUUGGCAAUCUGGAAAUGGGAGUGUGGUAGCUGUGGAGCGUACUUUCCCCAGUACAACAAUAACAUACCUAGUGAAAUCCCACUAAGUGGGGUCAGGGAAGGGUAGAGUGUACGCAAUCCUUACCACUACCUCGUGGAGGUAGAGAGGUUGUUUCCCUAGUCUCAAGUGCAUCAAACCAAAGUAAAAGUAUCCUCUUCAAACUUUAAGCCCAGUAUACUAUUCAAACUCUAAGCACUUGAAUUUCAAAUACUUCUUAACUUUACACCUAGUCUGUAGUUGCAAACUAUCUUUUGGCAUGCUGCCUAAGUUUGAGGACCAAAGCAAUUUCACCGAAGUGGUUUUAGCCACACCAAAAAGUAAUUCAUUUCAUAAAUCUAUCACAAAGCAAAAUGAGGUCCAGUGGUUUUCACACAAGUCCCCUCGUACAUAUGCUAAGUUGGACAUAUUAUGGAUGACUUGGUUUUAGCUCUCCUAUAUUUUAAGACCAUAGCUAAAACAAUGAAAUACAGCAGCACUAGCACUAAUGAAAUAAAGGAUAGAGAGAGAAAAUAUAGUAAUUUUUUUCUUUCUACAGAGACUAAUAUCCAUUCUAUAGAGGAUAGAUAUAGAAGAUAUUUUAUCUUUUUAAAUUCUACAAAAACAAACAUCCAAUAUGUGCUAUAGAGUAUCAAAACAAUGUCUCAAAGGCAAUUCAACCAGUUAUGAAUAUCCAUUAGCUCCAUUUUAUCCCAAUAGAAUAAGUCUGGAUGGCAGGCAAAUCUUAUAAAUGUUCAUAUGUUGUUGUUGUUGUCUUAUUUACAGAAGUAAUCAGUUAGUACCUAGUAGUAGUCACUUUAAUUUCUAACAUAGGAUUAAAAGAAAGGAAUAAAUACCUCAAGAUCCUUUCUGAAGCACAACUUAGGAAAUUGAUUUAAUAUCUUCUCAAACAGAACCAGUGAAUAAUAUGCUUCUUUCCAAGAUGAAAUCGUUGCAUCAUUCGGUAGAUCCACUUGCUUAUUUGUAAGAACAUUAACAGCAGAUUGCAAGAUGUUUCUCAUAACAGGUAGGAGGCUAUCAAUAUACUUUUGGAAACCAUCUUUAAGUCCUUCAAUGAGUAACCCCAAAACCUGUAAAAGAAAUAAUGAAGUCUUGAAACAUGUUUUUCUAUUUUUUGAUGAGGAAGGAGUUAUAUCUCAGAUUCAUGACAAAAUAAUGACGUCAGUUUUUGUCCAUUCUUCCGGCUAUUUAAUUCAUAGUUCAUAUACAUAAACGAAUAUGAAAAAAGUGAAUGACAUAUGGAACUUGUAAUCCUUCUUCGGUAUUUCCAAACUUGCUCCACGAUGGCAUAAUGUAGUUGAAUAAAAGAACAGUUUGGGGUUUUCACUCGUUUACCUGUGCUGCAGCACUCCAUAAAUGUGGUUUAUCUCCCAGAUACCAGGACCGACUAAACUCAAGAAUUGACUGGAGUGAACGGGGGCUGACUCGUCCAACAAGUAACUUUAUGACUGUACCAGUCAUUGAACGGACUCUGUUGUCACGAUCAUUCGCCAGACAAACCACCAAAUGCAGAAAAAACGUCUGAGAUUGUUCAUCUAUGAUGCUAACUGGGAAUUUCAUUAUAACAGCAUGAAGCAUUUCAAGGAUAGCUUCUCUUCCAGUUGAAUGCUCAUAUCUGAAAAAUUCAAAAACAUCAUUACAGAGAUGUCACCAUCUAUAAAUUUUACCAAAUGAAAUUAUUGAUUGUGCCCUUAUGUCCUUGCCUUAAGUUUGAAAGUAAGAAAUCAAGAUGUUGUUGAAGACGUUUCUCAGAUAUAUGGUAGUCCAGUAAAAACUGCAGCAAAAUUUGGCUGCUUUUCUUACGAAUUGAUUCAACUUGACUAGUCACCAUCAACACUGCAAGAUUUCUGCAACUACCAACUUCCUACUCACUAUUGCUUUCAACAGUGAGAGAGCCACAAAAGAGGGAUUUCUUUCAAGAUCAACAAAAAGAGGAAACUGGAUUAGCAUAUGCAGUUGAUCAGUAGAAAGUGUGAUCUUAGUGCUACGCAAAAGCACAGUUAGCAACUUAACGCAAGACUCCAAUAAUGGAUUACUGGAAGUUACUGAACCUUGAGCAAUAUUCAGUAAUGAAUUCUUUAUCUUCUCUGCCUGAGAUUCAAGAGAUGGCAAAGGGAGCCUCACCAGAGGAGAUAAGCACCUAAGUGAGGCAGACAUGACAUUCUCAUAUUUUGAGUUUAAGCAUUCACCCAAUAAUCUUACAAAUGGAUCUAGCAUUGACAACAACUGCUCAUCUUUCUUGUCAAAUUUCAUGUUCUUCAUGUAAUUCUGAAGCACUCCAAGAGCAAAUUCAGUAAUAAGAUGGGAAUAUCGUGGAUCAACGCUGACCAACUUAUCUGAUUUAGCAAUCUGGCUGCUUACUCCAUCUUUCUUUUGCUUACCUUCCAUUAAAGUCGAUGUCUCUGCAUGCCCUGGAGAUUCAUCUUUUAUGCCAUCUUUGAUCAGACCAUAUUCAUAGAUAAAGAGUUCUGUCUGGUUAACGGAAGGAUUACACUGUAUUCCAGCAGCUAUAUGAGAGAACAUAUUCUCAAAUUUUGAUUUUACUUUUGGAGUCAGCUGCUUCUGUAGAUGCUUAAGAAUUGGCGCAAGCAGCUUCAGAGCAUGUGUUUUGAAUGUGAUGCUUUGGGCAAUCAAUUUAAGGGUAUCAUAUGACUUCUGCUUCCUAGUCUCUUCCAUCUUUGAAGCAAUCUUCUCAACCUCUUUCUCCUCUGAAAUAUCACUAAGUAUAUCAUUUAUUGCAAUCGAGAGAAGAUCCUCUAAACAAAAAUCCAGCUUCCCACUACUGGGAUUUAGAAGAAAUUUUGAUAGUAGAAAAUUGAGAGUGAAUCCCAAAACAUGCAAUUCAAAUCCUCUCUUCAGAGUGCCUCUCAAGACUUUGACAACAAAUUGCAAGUACUCCAGCCCUAGUUCUUUUAAACAAGCAGCCAAAGCAGCUCUGGCUUCAUCACGAACACUUUCCAAACGAUUCUUAAGGAAAUUCGCUAUGCGAUGCAUCAUAGAUGGAAGGUGCGAUUCCAUGAUGUCUCCCGAAAUUCCGCAAUAACACCUUUUGUUUAUCUGGUUUCAGUGUCAUCUCCCGAAAGCAUCUAUUGAGUAAUGCAUAAUACAAUCUCCAGUCCAUGAAUUUAGAAAUUGAUCCAACAGCUUCCAAACAUGCACUUCUAAUAUUUUCACCCUUUCCAACUUGUCCAUCAACCAACAUUUUAAAGAGAAGAGGGAUAAACACUUUAUUUAUGAGAACCUGCACCAGAAUUAUUCCCAACUAUUAGUACAGCUUAGCAACACAGAGCACAAAUUGAUGCUUAAAGAAAAAGGCAAGUAACCACCUUAGACAGAUUCCCGGAAUAUGUAACUCAUCGAUUUUAAGCACCCUCAAAUUUUUCAUUUUCUUAAAUGUCUUGGUGCUCAGGUUCGCGCCUUUUAAUUCCCCUGGAUCUACCACCAGUACUUCUACUUUUUCGGAACCCUGUAGUUUCAGCACAUAUUAAUUGAACAAAAGCAAUUAUAAGCAAAUAUUUAUCAAAUUAUUGAAAAAAAUUAAAAUCACGAAAGAUAAAGAAUCUACUGACUAUAUUUCCUUGUGGAACAUCUCGGACUUCUUGAGGUUUGAACAAUCUACUCUGUUUUCCAGAGUCUCAAGGUGAUUCCAUACGAACAAUUUCUCUUCCCAUAUCUCGCACUAGAUCAUGCAUCAUCAAAUAACGCCAAUCCCUUUAGAGCAAGUUCCUUUGGACUAAGGUUGAAAUUGCACUUUCAGAAUAAAAACCACACGCAUUUAAUGUUUUGAUAACUUCAUCCUCAAAAAAUCCAUGGAAGGCACACACGAUAUCAAGGAAAACACUUUGAGUAUCAC